AAUUUUCGCGGACUAAACACGCCCAUACUCUAUUUCGCCAUUCCUUGUCUCUCGAGCUCCGCCGCCUCCCCAUGGCGGAUCCGCCGAGAACAGGGAGGAUUCAAGAAGAUGGACUGAGAUGCACUGAUUGAGUCGAUCCUAAUCCUAAAUGGUGCAAGUUUAGUGGCAACAGCAAUGAAAGCAUCUUCCAGUGUUUAGGAGAGGUACAGGAUCUGUGUUUGUUUUAUGCUGCCAAUCGAACCUGCUACGAGGCAAGCUGCUAGAGAUAUUUCGAGCUAGAAGCUAGCUGAGCCAUGGCACUCAAGGCGGUGUACCUGUACGCCGCCGUCGGGAAGCUGCUGCUCUGCUCCUCCGCGAGCUUCAUCCAUAGCCCCGAGCGAUGUGUUCGGCAGCGCCGGGCCCCCUCUCCGUGGCGGCGCGGGGCACUUGCUCCACGGCCAGGCGCAGGCGUGCGCCUCCUCCUCCACGCAGCUUACCAUGGAUAGCAUCUGACAUAGAUUUGGAGCGGCAGCUAGAUCUGUGAAGUGGUCAGAUCCUCUGAGUCCAGCUGAUUCUUGCAUCGUGAGACUAUUUGGUGUUUAUUAUUAGAAUUUGACUCAAUUUUUUUUGUUGUUUGUAAGAAUUGUGCACCUUAAAAUUCAGUGAAUAUUUCUUUUGCAGAAAAAUACAUGCAUCCUUGUAGAUUUGGUUAAUCUAUAUUGUGGUUUAUGAAAGAAACAUCCAUCGGCAAAUAGUUUUCUGUAAUAUUUUAUGUGCACAAAAAGAUUUGACUUCAGUGUGCAAGAUAGUGAGUAUGUGCAAGAUUUGACUUCAGUGUGCAUGUACUUCCAUGAUAAAAAAAAACGUGUGCAUCAUGAUCUGAAUGUUGCUCGAGAUGUUCAGGUUUUUUGUAUGCUUAAUGGUUUCACAAUUUUUACUCCUGAUUAUAAAACUUGUGCAUCAUGCUCGUUGCACCUUAUAUAUCUUGGAAGUUCCAGAACUUCAAUUAUAUACUGGUGCAUCAUGCUCGUUGAAUGUUAGGGUUAAUUUCUGCUGAGGAAAAUUAAUUGUGCAUCCUCAUGUACUUCACAUAUUUUCGUAUUUAUUUAUCUACAAAAAACAUUAUUUUUGCUGCUCAGAGAACAAUUCAAUCUUUUCAUGUAUAAGAAAUGUGCAUUUCUAAUAUGUUGUGCAUUUGACCUAUUAUUCUGGAAGAAAAAUACGUCCAGAUAAUUAUUCUAGCACAGAAGGUAAAUAUGUCCAGGCCAUUGUACUUUUAUCUCAAAUCUUGUUAUACACAAACAGUUGUGCAUGCUCUUAUUUUGUACAUGUUAUUAGCCCAGUUGGUGCGAAGCAACCGGUGGCACUCCAUAGGUGGGGGGUUCGAACCCCCACCGGGGCGGAUUUACCCCGCCUGUGGGAAAAAAACCCCUCGCUGUGCUUUCGUUGAGCUUGGCUGUGCGACACGGCUCUUGGGCGACAGAACCCGGCCCAUGAAGGUUACGGACCGGCUCAGGGCCAAGGUGCCGCCAGUCCAAGCCCGGAAGCCGGCUUUCAGGGGUUUUCUCGGCCGGGGUCAACUAACAUCUUCUUAAUUGAAAGCCGUGGGGGCGGUCUUUCCAGUCUUUCCCCCACCGGUCGAGUUUUUUUUUCAUCCUGAUUUAUUGUACAAUUGAUUAAUUAUUUUCUUGAAGGAUCACAAUUGAAAUGUGCAACAUCUAUUGUCCUAUUAUUAUGCAUCUAGAUUUUUCACCACCUCCAGCCGGCCUUUUUUUUUGCAUCCCAAUGUAUUGAACAUCGGGUACAUGUACAUUAUCACACAACUUAGUGGUAUUUGCUUAUUUAGUUAUUUUGCCUAUUUGGAGAAUUUGUAUUAUGUGUAAAAAGAAAUAUGAUAUUGAUUUUUCAAUGUUUUAACCUGAAAAACAUAUGCAUCCUUUAGUGUUUUGUA